CCUACGGGUGGCAGCAGUAGGGAAUUUUCGUCAAUGGGCGCAAGCCUGAACGAGCAAUGCCGCGUGAACGUGGAAGGCCUUUGGAUCGUAAAGUUCUGUUGAAGGGGAAAAAGAGCGGAGAGAGGAAAUGCUUCGUGAUUGAUAUUAGCCUUCGAGGAAGUCACGGCUAACCACGUGCCAGCAGCCGCGAGAAUACGUGGGUGGCGAGCGUUAUCGGGAAUGUUUGGGCGUAAGGGGUGCGUUGGCGGCCUGCAGGGUCUGGAGUGAAAGGUACCGGCUCAGGAGGUACGGGCUCUGGAAACUGGCGGGCUAGAGUGCAGGGGAGGUGGGUGGAA
rnacentral:rRNA from 1 species